UGCAAAUUAGUUGUAUAUAUUUCAUUUCAGUAACACAUCACAUGAAUUACAAUACAUCAUCCAUCGACUCCUCUACACAUAAAGGUUCAAGGCCCAACAAGUGCACAACAUAACAUCAAUGAUAAACGAAGCUUCUUGUUCUCUUCUCCCGUCAUGUCCUCUACUUCUUUUGGGUGCUUCAGAUCAUCCUGUUUAUUCAAAUAAUCAAACAUAAGAAAGCAUACAACUUCUCUCAAUGAAGGUACGAUAAAAUACAUGUGAAUCUUUUUUUAUUCUAAUCUUUACGUCUCUGAAUAAUUGUCUAUUCUGCUUCUAAUCACCAUGACGUCAAAAAUGCAUGCAAAGUGUGCGUGCACCUGGUACAGAAUAUUAUAAUGUAGCAUAUAUGUUUGCAUUUAUCGCACAAGAAAGAAGGCAUACAGAGAUAAGGUAUGAAAUAUACAUGAAGGCCAAAUACCACAGAAACAAUUACAUAUUCUUUCCCUGAUACUCUGAGAGCAUAAGCUAUUCGGCUCAGAAAAGAACAAUGAAAGUAGGCAGUGGCGGAGCCAGCGCCCGACCACCCGGGCACUUGCCCAGGCUCGAUGGCUGUGAGACAGCUUACAUACAUGAUAAACAGUGGGCAGAUUCUACCGUGCGUCUUGGUUUACGUGGGCAACAUCCAUGCACGUAUGAUUCUCAAACAAAAGGUUCAUGCAUGUAUGUGAUAAACAAUGGGCUACUUAAUUAGGCCUACUAUAAGCAUCUAACCAAUAUUCAACCUCCUCUGUUUUUAAAUAUAAGAUCUUUUAAAGAUUUUACUACAGAGUAUGUAUGAAACAAAAUAAGUAAAUAAAUAUGUUAAAAUAUANUCUAUAUACAUCCUUAUAUAGAUUGUUCCUACAUAACUAGUUCUUCCAAAAUAACUAGUUCCUACAUUUCGAUCUGCAAAGUCAAAGAUGCUGCAUUACAGGGAGUAAUCGAUCAUAUAUACUCCUCUCUAGUAUGAAGAUUAAACAAGACAUGGCAAGCUUGCAAACUACCUCCAGCGUUACUGUUAAAGGAGUUCCACCUCAUUCGAUCUGCAAAUUUAUCUCCUUGUCAACGCUCUCGUCAAGCAAGGACUCCAUAGUGAGAAAUUUUGUUACAACCUUUAAAUAGUUAAGAACAUCGUUGAAUAAGAAAUUAAUGUGGUAUGCCAAAUUAAAAUAACAUGGAAAAUGCAUCAGUGAAAAGAAAUAUAGUGAACAACAAGCAGCCAAGUUUAUAAAACAUGAUGAUUUUAAAUGACAGUAUGGUUUAUACAACAAGGAGCCAAAUUAUGCUAGAGUACAAGUUUAUACAGCAAGGAAUAGUGCAUAAAUUUGGAGUAUGGAGUAAAUGACAGUACUUCAAAAAAAUAUGGAGUAAUGCAUAAAUUUGUACUCUAGCAAGUUUACUGCAUACUCAAGUUAAAUUCAGUUUACUCUUAAAUGACAGUAACUCAGUUUAUUGUUAAAUGACAAUACUCCAGAAAGGAGUGAUUCAGUACUUUGAUUACCUUGGACUAACACUGAUCAUGCAAACAUCAACACCCAUUGUUGAAAACAGCAAUCCAAUUAUUUGUCCUUUUCUAUCGGUAAGCAAG
rnacentral:lncRNA from 1 species